AUUGAACGCUGGCGGCAUGCUUAAAAAAGCAAGUUGAAAGGGAAACGGGCGGAAGGGGCCGACGAGGGGGCAAAGAGGGAGGAAAGGAACGGAAAGGGGCCAGGCCGGGGGGGUAAAUAACCGGAAGAGUAGGCAAAACCGCAAAAGAACCUAGGGAGGAAGGGGGGGACCGGAAAGGCCCGGCGGGAUUGAACCGCCGAUGUCAGAUUAGGUAGUUGGUGGGGUAAAGGCUCACCAAGCCAACGAUCUGUAGCUGGUCUGAGAGGACGACCAGCCACACUGGGACUGAGACACGGCCCAGACUCCUACGGGAGGCAGCAGUGGGGAAUUUUGGACAAUGGGCGCAAGCCUGAUCCAGCAAUGCCGCGUGCAGGAAGAAGGCCUUCGGGUUGUAAACUGCUUUUGUACGGAACGAAACGGCUCUGGUUAAUACCCGGGGCUAAUGACGGCACCGUAAGAAUAAGCACCGGCUAACUACGUG
rnacentral:rRNA from 1 species